UCUAAAGAACCGUUGUGUAUUUUAUUGGUUUUUUUUUUCUUUUUUGGUGAAAAUAAUUUUUUUCUUAAUUUUUUUGGUGUUUUUGUUGACGCCGGGCUAUACGCGCAAACUUAAACGCAUUUUUAUUUAAAGCGGUAGAUUUUUUUACCACAUUGCGUUGAAAAAAAAAAAAAUCAAUAAAAAAUUAAAGAAAAAAAUCGUGUAAUUUUUAUUUCAUCUUUAUUAACGGUUUAUCAAAGAAAUUUUAAAGAAAAUCCAUAAAUUUUUUUGAUUUUCUUUUUGAAAACUCAAGUUGAUAUUGCAAUUUAAAAAAUUUUUUCUAACAAAAAGAAAACAUUAAAAACUUUUUGAGCUUCUAAAAUUUCGGGAUAAUUUUGAACGAGCAAAAGAUUAUAGCAAAAUUAUUAACGGUUUUUUCAAAGCAGUAGGAGCAACUAAAAUAAAUUAACAGGAAUAAAAAAUAAUUUUUAAUAAGAAUUUGAAAAAAAAAAAACAAAAAUGGCUACAACUGCUGCAGAACGUCGAGCAUCAUUUGCUCGGAGAGCAGAAAGUAUGGUGGAGAGGGUGAGAAUAUUGAACACAAUCUAUGAGGUAUCAGGUGACCAAAGUUGUGAGACAAUUUCAAAUUUCUUUCGUUGAUUUUUUGUCUUUUUUGUUUUUCUUUAAAAGGCGAAAAAAAAAGAGAAAGUUUUUAUUAUCCUUGCGUGAAUUUCC